rnacentral:rRNA from 1 species
ACUCCUACGGGAGGCAGCAGUAGGGAAUCUUCCACAAUGGACGAAAGUCUGAUGGAGCAACGCCGCGUGAGUGAAGAAGGGUUUCGGCUCGUAAAACUCUGUUGUUAAAGAAGAACAUAUCUGAGAGUAACUGUUCAGGUAUUGACGGUAUUUAACCAGAAAGCCACGGCUAACUACGUGCCAGCAGCCGCGGUAAUACGUAGGUGGCAAGCGUUGUCCGGAUUUAUUGGGCGUAAAGCGAGCGCAGGUCGGUUUUUAAGUCUGAUGUGAAAGCCUUCGGCUCAACCGAAGAAGUGCAUCGGAAACUGGGAAACUUGAGUGCAGAAGAGGACAGUGGAACUCCAUGUGUAGCGGUGAAAUGCGUAGAUAUAUGGAAGAACACCAGUGGCGAAGGCGGCUGUCUGGUCUGUAACUGACGCUGAGGCUCGAAAGUAUGGGUAGCAAACAGGAUUAGAUACCCCUGGUAGCACAGAG